AUGCUGGUGUGUGAUUGAUGAUUUUAAUUAUUGCAUUUGAUACUUUUAAAUAUUCUAUUUUUGUAAUGAAAUUAAGAAUUUAGUGGGAUGAGGAACGGUGGGAUGAAGCCCUACAUUCAUGCAGUAGGUGAAGGACUCUUAAAUCAGUCUCUGGAGUUAUUUAACUGUUACCAAUUACUCCUGCAUUGUAAACAAUCAAAGUGCUUGUAUCUGCAGGCAGUAGAUAACCUGCAAAUCAAAUAUAUCAGCUCUGCCCAGAUCCUUGAAGAGAUUGUCCUGUCAACUAAAACAAGAAUAAAAGAUGUGAUUGUAAAUAACAUUCGUGGGACAAACAGUGGAUGA
rnacentral:lncRNA from 1 species